AUUGAACGCUGGCGGCAUGCCUUACACAUGCAAGUCGAACGGCAGCGCGGGCUUCGGCCUGGCGGCGAGUGGCGAACGGGUGAGUAAUACAUCGGAACGUGCCCUAGAGUGGGGGAUAACUAGUCGAAAGAUUAGCUAAUACCGCAUACGAUCUACGGAUGAAAGUGGGGGACCGCAAGGCCUCAUGCUCCUGGAGCGGCCGAUGUCUGAUUAGCUAGUUGGUGGGGUAAAAGCCUACCAAGGCGACGAUCAGUAGCUGGUCUGAGAGGACGACCAGCCACACUGGGACUGAGACACGGCCCAGACUCCUACGGGAGGCAGCAGUGGGGAAUUUUGGACAAUGGGGGAAACCCUGAUCCAGCAAUGCCGCGUGUGUGAAGAAGGCCUUCGGGUUGUAAAGCACUAUUGUCAGGAACGAAACGGUGGGGGCUAAUAUCCUCCGCUAAUGACGGUACCUGAAGAAUAAGCACCGGCUAACUACGUGCCAGCAGCCGCGGUAA
rnacentral:rRNA from 1 species